UACAUACAUACAUACAUACAUACAUACCAUACAUACAUACAUAUGUAUGUAUGUAUGUAUGUAUGUAUGUAUGUU
rnacentral:pre_miRNA from 1 species